CUUCUUUUUUUCUUUUGGGAGUUUACUUCCUCAUUCUGUUCUCGUCGUGUCGCAGCUUCUUUUCUCCGUCUAAAGGUGAAGCUACAAAGACUCUGUGACUGGAUGUGGAUCUGAAUUCACCUGGUGUUUCUCUGCUAUGGAUCAGUGUGAGGACAGAGAG